rnacentral:lncRNA from 1 species
GGUUAGAGAAGCAGCAGACGUAGGUAGUAUUUUGGAGGAAUGUAACCUGGAGGAAGAGUGACCGAUGGAUUAGAAGAUGAUGCGUCACGUAGGGGCUGUCAUUGCAGGGUACAUCUGAUUCUGAGUUAGACCAUGAGAUCUGGAUAGACCAGAAAAGGAAGGUGGCUGGCAACUGUGCAGUGAACAAAGAAGCAGACUCAGGGACAGGAAGAAGGACCACAGAAGGAGCUUCCAAAACAAACUGGGAUCACAAAGAAAGCAUUCUGAGACUCUGAAGUCA